rnacentral:rRNA from 1 species
CUGCUGCCUCCCGUAGGAGUCUGGGCCGUGUCUCAGUCCCAAUGUGGCCGUUCAACCUCUCAGUCCGGCUAUGGAUCGUCGACUUGGUAGGCCGUUACCCCACCAACUAUCUAAUCCAACGCGAGCCCAUCCUUCGGCACCUCAGUUUUGGUAUUUCUAUCAUGCGGUAAAAAUACGUUAUGCGGUAUUACUGUCCGUUUCCAGACACUAUCCCCCUCCGAAGGGCAGGUUGCUCACGCGUUACUCACCCGUCCGCCA